CUUUCUAGAUAGAAAGAACUUCACUUUUUGUUGUUUUGAUUGAAUGAUUGACACCACCACUGAGGCAAUUGGCGAAUGGUCCGAGUCAUGAAACACGAAAGAAAUUCCUGAAGUUGUCUUACUCACCCGUAGCCAUCAAAUAAUAUAGCCUUGACAAUGGACACGCCGUCUGAAAGGGCUGAAUAAUAACACUGACGUGAUCACCCAUUGUGUUGAUGCACUGUACUUCACUGAUGCAAAGGAAGUAAUAUGUUAUGUUACUGUAGAUCUACUCUGAUUUGAAUACUAUUUAUGUAAUUGAGUAUUAUUUAACAUUUAAAUCUGAUGUUUACCUAAUAUGACUGGGGAGCCUUGAUAUAUACCUUGGAGUAUUAACAGU